AUUGAACGCUGGCGGCAGGCUUAACACAUGCAAGUCGAGCGGAGAUGAAGUGCUUGCACCUUAUCUUAGCGGCGGACGGGUGAGUAAUGCUUAGGAAUCUGCCUAUUAGUGGGGGACAACAUUCCGAAAGGAAUGCUAAUACCGCAUACGUCCUACGGGAGAAAGCAGGGGAUCUUCGGACCUUGCGCUAAUAGAUGAGCCUAAGUCGGAUUAGCUAGUUGGUGGGGUAAAGGCCUACCAAGGCGACGAUCUGUAGCGGGCCUGAGAGGAUGAUCCGCCACACUGGGACUGAGACACGGCCCAGACUCCUACGGGAGGCAGCAGUGGGGAAUAUUGGACAAUGGGGGGAACCCUGAUCCAGCCAUGCCGCGUGUGUGAAGAAGGCCUUAUGGUUGUAAAGUACUUUAAGCGAGGAGGAGGCUACUGAGACUAAUACUCUUGGAUAGUGGACGUUACUCGCAGAAUAAGCACCGGCUAACUCUGUGCCAGCCGCCGCAGUAAAAC
rnacentral:rRNA from 1 species